GGUGGCUCAGUGGUAGAGUACUUGCUUUACAUGCAUGGGACCCUGGGUUCAAUUCCUCAGCACCA
rnacentral:tRNA from 1 species